rnacentral:rRNA from 1 species
GGGGCCCCCCCAAAACGGGGGGAAAAUUUGGUUUUUUUUUUUGGGAAAAGGGGGGGGGGCCCCUUUUCCGGGGGGGUCAAAAAAAGGGGGAGGGUUUUUUUUUAAAAAGCGCCCCCCCCCAAUUUUUUUCUCAAAAGGGCGCAAAUGUUUUUUCAACUUUCCCCCGAAGGGUGCGGGUUAAAGGCCAAAAAGGGGGCCAACCCCUUCCCCACAGGUUUCCCUUUGGGGGGAAAGGCGGGGCCAUUUUUUUGGGGGAAUGCCUGCCAAACCAGUAAGGAAGGCGGGGAUNACGUCNAAAUCAGGCACCGGCCCUUACGUCGGGGGCGACACACGUGUACAAAUGGCAGGUACAGCGGGAAGCCACCCGGCGACGGGGCGCGGAACCCGANAACCUGUCUCAGUUCGGAUUGGAGUCUGCAACCCGACUCCAUGAAGCUGGAUUCGCUAGUAAUCGCGCAUCAGCCACGGCGCGGUGAAUACGUUCCCGGGCCCUUGUACACACCGCCCGUCAAGCCAUGGAAGCCGGGGGUGCCUGAAGUGCGUGACCGCAAGGAGCGCCCUAGGGUAAAACCGGUGACUGGGGCUAAGUCGUAACAAGG